rnacentral:rRNA from 1 species
UACGUGGAGUGCAAGCGUUGUCCGGAAUUAUUGGGCGUAAAGGGUACGUAGGCGGAUAGUAAAGUCAAGCGUGAAAGGUGUCGGCUUAACCGACAGACUGCGUUUGAAACUGAUUAUCUUGAGUGUAACAGGAGGAGAGUGGAAAUUUCCCUAGUGUAGUGGUGAAAUACCGUAGGAUAUUAGGAAGAACACCAGUGGCGAAGGCGACUCUCUGGGUUAACACUGACGCUGAGGUAUGAAAGCUGGGGGAGCGAACGGGAUUAGAUACCCCCGUAGU